rnacentral:rRNA from 1 species
AACGAACGCUGGCGGCACGCUUAACACAUGCAAGUCGAACGAACUCUUCGGAGUGAGUGGCAGACGGGUGCGUAACACGUGGGAACCUACCCUGUAGUACGGAAUAACAGUUAGAAAUGACUGCUAAUACCGUAUACGCCCUUCGGGGGAAAGAUUUAUCGCUAUAGGAUGGGCCCGCGGCUGAUUAGUUUGUUGGUGGGGUAAUGGCCUACCAAGACUACGAUCAGUAGCUGGUCUGAGAGGAUGAUCAGCCACACUGGAACUGAGACACGGUCCAGACUCCUACGGGAGGCAGCAGUGGGGAAUAUUGGACAAUGGGCGAAAGCCUGAUCCAGCGAUGCCGCGUGAAUGAUGAAGGCCUUAGGGUUGUAAAAUUCUUUCGACGGUGAAGAUAAUGACGGUAACCGUUAAAGAAGUCCCGGCUAAUUUCG